UUCUGCUUUGGGGCCCCCACUGCUUCCCUUCCCAAGGGUCCUAUCUUCUCCCAAAUUAGAAGUUUAGGGAGGGCCGGGGGCGCAGUGGGGGUGGAUGUUCCUCUGGAGCUCAAGGGAGGUCCAGUCACUCAGACUUGGCUUUCUCAUGGAUCCAUCUCUUUUCCCGGAGCCUGGCUACUGCCGACACCUUUGGAUCCUGAGCCAAUUCUCUGCAUCGCCUGCCUACACUUGGCUGGUGGUGUACCAGCCUCCCCACAUCACCAUGGAAACAGGAGCCUCUGCGUCCAUCCCGGAGCUCAUUUGUGAAGCUAUGGGAAGAAUCUGGAUGCUGGGGUUGUGCUGGGGGUGCUGCUUAGGAAGGCCAAAGAGAUAGCGUUCACAGAAAUUGUGGAGAGAAGGAGAGAUAUUGAGACACCAGGGUGGGGGAGGGAUUGCUUUGUAAGGGUUAUUGGAAUAACUUGUACCCUGUGAAGACAGGUGGCUUCCUUGACAGGCCAUAACUGCAGUUGUGUCCUGGAUCACUGGUCAGUCCAAACUGACCAACCCCUCCCUCCCCACGGAUGGCCCUUUGUAGCGCGGUAAACUUGAGGGACUUACUUGACCCCCAAGCACCACUCUUCUCAUCUGUAAAUGUAAAAUAAAAAUAACAGCAGCACUUACUUAACAGGGGUCUUGCAAGAAUUCGAUGCGGGGACACAUAUACAACACACAAAACAGUGCUCAGCCCAUGGCAAUACCAAACUGCAGUUUGUUGACCACAGAUCCUGGGACUUCUCAGCCUCCAUAAUCACCUCUUGGCUUGCUGCUGGGCCUCCGUAGGGACUGAGUGCUUAACAAAGGACCAAGUUACUUUGCUACCUGAGCUGUCCAUCAUGAACCGGGUGUUGUCUGACCUACCAAGCCAUGAUGUUGGGCAAGCAAAACAGCAUUCCAUCAGCACGUGAAACUGGAAUAGACGAGACUGGGUCCAAACAGGCCCUGGUGUCAUAAGUGAGUCACGUGAAGACGUGGCCCAAAUGCCAUGGUUCCCCACUACCUUUUCUCUUCCCUCAGGUGUAGUUCCCUCUGAUCACUUGACAGAGGCAGAAAAAACUCAGGCCUGGUUUCUAGAUGAUUCUGCACAUAUGCAGGCACCACCCAAAAGUGAACAGCUACAGUAGAACAGCCACUUUCAGGGCCAUCCCUGAAGGACAAUGGUGAAGGGAAGUCCCCCCAGUGGGCAGAACUUUGAGCAGUGUACCUGGUUGUUCACUUUGCCUGGAAGGAGAAAUGGCCAAAUGUGUGAUUAGACACUGAUACAAGGCUAUGGCCAAGGUUUAGCUGGAUCGUCAGGGACUUGGAAGACACACGACUGGAAAAUAGGUGACAAGAAAAUUUGAGA